rnacentral:rRNA from 1 species
AGUGAACGCUGGCGGUAGGCCUAACACAUGCAAGUCGAACGGCAGCACAGUAAGAGCUUGCUCUUACGGGUGGCGAGUGGCGGACGGGUGAGGAAUACAUCGGAAUCUACUUUUUCGUGGGGGCUAACGUAGGGAAACUUACGCUAAUAUCGCAUACGACCUACGGGUGAAGGCCGGGGAUCUUCGGACCUUUCGCGAUUGACUGAGCCGUUGUCGGAUUAGCAAGUUGGCGGGGAAAGGCCCACCAAGGCGACGAUCCGUAGCUGGUCUGAGAGGAUGAUCAGCCACACUGGAACUGAGACACGGCCCAGACUCCUACGGGAGGCAGCAGUGGGGAAUAUUGGACAAUGGGCGCAAGCCUGAUCCAGCCAUACCGCGUGGGUGAAGAAGGCCUUCGGGUUGUAAAGCCCUUUUGUUGGGAAAGAAAAGCAGCAGGUUAAUACCCUGCUGUGAUGACGGUACCGAAAGAAUAAGCACCGGCUAACUUCGUG